GCCAUCCUUUUGCUCCUGCUGAGUAGUGCCUGGCUGCAUCUUCAGUCUUUGUGUUGACAGCCACAUUGUUCCAUUCUCCAUAAGAUGAAGGACCUCUCGGACUGUGCUCCUUACCUCAUAAUGAGAAUUACCAGCAGGCCCGGAUGGAUUCCUAAACAACGUGAGCCUGCUGGCCUGGAAAAGUCUUUAAUAAUAAAUGAUGAGAAAAGCAGAAGCGGACUUUGACUUCUGGGCAUUGGAUGGUGGGCACAGCCAAUGUGUGUCUUGAAUGGAAUAAUGACGGUCUUAAGAUUCAUUUUCCGUGAGCCACCUCUGAACAUCACUCCAGUGAAGUCCUUUGGUGCCGUUUUGCUGAUGGAAGAAGCUCAAAGUGAAUGACUUCUGAACCUUCAUCACUGAGGAUAACAUGAAGCUAGCCACCUGCCAUCUGACUACACCUGAGCAUGCCAAACCACGUUUCAUGGAGGGAAUUCCAGAAAGAUAUGUUGCAGACCCAAAGAAGGAAUGGCUCCUUAGAUAUGGGCAGAGCAAGGAAUGUGGAUGCACCCAGAGAGGAGCAAUGGUGACAAGUGCCUUCUGAUUAAAAUCGGGCAAUUCCGGGAAACUGCCAGUUGGAAAGAAUGUAACAGCUGAGGAUUCAAGCAUCUGACCAUUCUGGUGCAUCAUUUUCUUCUCAUUGGAACAUCUACAGGGCCCUAUGAUUUAUGCAGGAGCAGAGGCAGCACGCAAUCGAGCUGUCAAGAGAGCGUCAGCUUAUUAGGCAAAUGCUGCGUGGUUUCUGAAGAGGGUCGACGCUAUAAAAUCCCACUCCAGGCUCUGGUGUGGAGAAACUCAGAGCCCAAGUCCGUUGAGAGACUGAAGAGAAAGAUAAGAGGGGAAGAGAAAGAGAGUGAGGACAGAAAGAAGGGAAGAAAACCCCCGAAAAAGCCCCGGAGACGUUCCUCUGCAGAGAGGCGGCAGCGCCCCACUCACCUGCAGAAGCACCUCAGAAGGUAGGGAGCGCCUAGACGGAAACGCGCCUCCAACUUUGCAUUGCCUGAGCGGCCAUGGUGUGCGCGGCAGAGCCGGGUGUCCCUGUGAGGGCAUGUGUGUGAGUGUGUGUGCGUGCUUGUGUGUGUGUUUGCUGACUGUGUCUCAGGAUUCCGGUAGUAGCCAGGAUGUGUCAAAAGCAAACUUAGACGGCUGCUAAUCGUUAUUGGAACUGCCAGUUACUCCUCGCUGGCAUUGUAGACGAGUCCCCGCCAUCGAUCCGGACCCCUGAGAGAAGGACGCAAGGUCUGGGAUGGAGAAAGAGGAGGAGGAGGCAGCAGUUCUCAAUUUGGAGGACAACGCUGAAACAUCCGGAAAGGGGAAGGGGGAGGGGGGUAGAUGAGAUCUAAAAUUUGUAGAUCUUCUGUAGAGCUCGGGGAAUCAGUUUUUGGGGAUCGUUAGGGGACUCAGAGACCCUUCGAGGGUCUCUAAAGAAGAAGGGUCACUCCAGCCUGACGAGGGGCUGAGCUUUGGUGCUGAGCCCUGUAGGCGUCCCCUUUCCUGUCCCCCCUCAUUACUCCAACUCUAGAAGUCCUUGUUCGAGAGCUUCAGCACCGCGGACAGUGCCUGCCCGAACCCCUGAGGCACGUCUGUGGGUGUCAUGUAGGAAGACCCCGAGCGCACCUCCCAUUUGAGCUAAACUCUGACCAACUCUUUCUUUCUCUCUUCCCUUCUCUUAUUCCGCUCUCCGCCCACCUCUGUG
ensembl:lncRNA